rnacentral:rRNA from 1 species
GACGAACCGUGCGAACGUUAUUCGGAUUCACUGGGCUUAAAGGGCGCGUAGGCGGACGAGCAAGUCCGGGGUGAAAUCUUUCGGCUUAACCGGAAAAGUGCCUUGGAUACUGCUCGCCUUGAGGGAGGUAGGGGCAUGUGGAACUUCCGGUGGAGCGGUGAAAUGCGUUGAUAUCGGAAGGAACGCCGGUGGCGAAAGCGACGUGCUGGCCCUCUUCUGACGCUGAGGCGCGAAAGCCAGGGGAGCAAACGGG